rnacentral:rRNA from 1 species
UACGUAGGGACCGAGCGUUGUCCGGAUUCAUUGGGCGUAAAGAGCUCGUAGGCGGCCACUCAAGUCGAAUGUGAAACCUCGAGGCUUAACCUCGAGCCUGCAUUCGAUACUGGGCGGCUAGAGUCUGGUAGGGGGAGCUGGAAUUCCUGGUGUAGCGGUGGAAUGCGCAGAUAUCAGGAGGAACACCGGUGGCGAAGGCGGGAUCCUGGGCCAGUACUGACGCUGAGGAGCGAAAGCGUGGGGAGCGAACAGG